GUUUUCUUUAUGGUUGGUGUUUGUGUGUCCUCUUUAAGAAACUUUUGCAUAACCCAAUGAAGAUAUCCCCUUGUUUUCUUCUAGAAGCUUUGUUUUUGCCUUUUCUGAUUGAUUGAUUCUUCAUACACAGGGAAUUGAUAUUUAUGUUUGAUGUUAAUGUCACUGAAUUCAGGUUUGGCUGCUCGUUGCUCGAGAAUCCAAUACUGAGAGGCAAGUGUUGGGUAAGACGCUUUAUUGUGGAAGCUGGCAGUCUUGGCGAGGAGGCAGACUCAUGUCCCAAAGAACCAACUUCCCAUUGUUGAUCAGGGGGGCCCACGGCUCCUUCGGCGAUAACCUUCCUCCUUGAUCGUGUAAGAGGCCACCGAUGACCCGUGACCGACGACUUGCUUUGCACACGGAGAUCUGGAUUGUGUCAACGGCCAGUAACGAGUCAUUGGACCUAUAACCCUUCGUCUCGAAAGCUGGUGUUACUGUGCUUCGACCUCUAAAGGGCAGGACAGUCCUCGGAGCUGUUUGAAAGACUGUUUCCCGGGGUGUCAUCCUCAGGGUGGCUCGAAUGAACUUUUCCAUUUCUUUCUUA